CUCGUAGUUGGAUUUGUGGCUGUCACGGGCGGCCUAUCACUUAGUGUUAGUGCUUGCCUGUGUCGCCAUCCUUGGGUGGAGCCCGUGUGGCAUUAGGUUGUCGUGCGGGGGAUGCCCAUCGUUUACUGUGAGAAAAUUAGAGUGUUCAAAGCAGGCUUAUGCCGUUGAAUAUGUUAGCAUGGAAUAAUAAGAUAGGACCUCGGUACUAUUUUGUUGGUUUGCGCACCGAGGUAAUGAUUAAUAGGGACAGUUGGGGGUAUUCGUAUUCCAUUGUCAGAGGUGAAAUUCUUGGAUUUCUGGAAGACGAACUACUGCGAAAGCAUUUACCAAGGAUGUUUUCAUUAAUCAAGAACGAAAGUUAGGGGAUCGAAGAUGAUUAAAUACCAUCGUAUUCUUAACCAUAAACUAUGCCGACAAGGGAUUGGCGGAGUUUCGUUUUGUCUCCGUCAGCACCUUAUGAGAAAUCAUAAGUCUUUGGGUUCCGGGGGGA
rnacentral:rRNA from 1 species